AUACUGCCAGUGACAAACUGGAGGAAGGCGGGGACGACGUCAAGUCAUCAUGGCCCUUACGGCCAGGGCUACACACGUGCUACAAUGGUCGGUACAAAGGGUUGCUACACAGCGAUGUGAUGCUAAUCUCAAAAAGCCGAUCGUAGUCCGGAUUGGAGUCUGCAACUCGACUCCAUGAAGUCGGAAUCGCUAGUAAUCGCGGAUCAGAAUGCCGCGGUGAAUACGUUCCCGGGCCUUGUACACACCGCCCGUCACACCAUGGGAGUUUGUUGCACCAGAAGUAGCUAGCCUAACUGCAAAGAGGGCGGUUACCACGGUGUGGCCGAUGACUGGGGUGAAGUCGUAACAAGGUAGCCGUAGGGGAACCUGCGGCUGGAUCACCUCCUUAACGAA
rnacentral:rRNA from 1 species